CAGACGUAAAUUAAUGGUUUAGAAAUUUUGGAAUGGUAUGAAACUUUUUACAAUCUUCGAGUAAGUUUUAAAUCAAAUAUGGUAAACUGUCUAAACUCCAAGAGGUUUUGCCAGCGUAAAAAAUGCCCGUGAUGGUCUAAGUGAUGGUCAUCCAUUUAUAUGACCCAUUACACACAUCCGGCCUAAAAUGAGAUAUUUAAUUUAAUGAACAUUUAAUUUUAUAUGCAUAAGUGAUAUAUGUAAUGCACGAAAGAUAUGUUACUUUUUAAAGUAUAUGCUACAUCUAUAUUAUAUAUAUACAUCUGUUUAUUGUGUGUUUAAUUCCUGGAAUAAACACACUAAACCUUACGAUUCUAAGCUCUAAUAAAAUAUUUUGUGAAAAUAUAUGAUCAAUGGACCUAAGAAGUGCUUACGUCACGUAAUUUUCAAACAAUGAAUUAUUGACCCCAAGGUAUCCCACAAUGCACUGUGCAUUCCAGACGUCCUCUGUAUUCACAAUUGCGUGACGUAAGCACUUCUAAGGUCUACUUUAACUUAAAAUUGAUGUACAAUGUACAUUACGAUUUACAAGUUUUGUGAAUACAUGAUCACGUAAGCAAUUUUGCUGAAAAUGUACAUUUUGAUUCACUAAAUGUUAGAUAGUGCUCAACAGCAUAAAAUAGAUCAAACAGUAGGUUGGCUUACGACAAAAUGUGGAGUAGCCUUAAUUCUCUCGCCUGAAAACCCAACCCGAAACCACUGGUAGCUAGCCUGCGUCACAUGCAGAAUAUAGACCUUAUAGAAGGCCGACUCAGCCAAAAAAAGCGUAACCACCGCCACGCCACGUCAUAAUGGUCAUCAAAAUGCACUGUUUCGAACCGGCAGUGCGCUUACGAGAGGCAUUCACCUCCCCCCUGAACGUCUGCCAUUUUGAAUCUUUUCAAUGGUUACGGCAAAAUAUUACCAUCAAAAUAUAGGCAAAAGCAUGAAGUCGGCCUUCUGCGAGUCCCGUAAGGUCUCUAUUCUAUUGGUAGCCAACCUAUACCAUAUUUGCACUAUCAUGCAUUAUUUAUUUAUUUAUUUAUUUAUUUACACUUUGUCUCUCAGGCUUGGAGCCCGCAACAGCUAAGGCUAUUUGCUGCGGGUCCAUUACAUGUAUUACAUCCUACUAAAUAUCGUACGAACUGAAAACAAAUAAGCUUAGGUACUAGCGAAGUUAUUAACGACUAUAUACAAACCAGGAGACUACACUUAAUGUGAACUGUCUUCUAUGUUCGUGCAUCCUCAGGGUCAUAAGUGUGGUUUAAUGCGUUCUGGUAAUAUUCUCUCAAUAAAGAUUUGAAAGAAGACAGAGACAUUGUGUUUCUUCGUGUUUCUUUAGGCGGCACAUUCCAUACUCUUUUUGACCGAACUAAGUAAGACCUAACAUUCAGAUAAUAGUGAGGUUAAGAUACCCCGGUUUCGGUUUACGGGUACGACUUGCAACUUAAUCCAAGAUAUUCCGGUACGAGUGAAACUGAUAUAGCCGUAGAACGGAACCGCGGUAUCAUAAUCUCUCUAUUAUAUACAAUAUACGACAUAGUCUGAAAACUCGAGAAAGGUUUUGUUCAAUCUUUUUGUUCAUGUUUAUGCUAAGUUGGGCAUGGUUACGACAAUAAACUUUUGGCAUAAUAAGGCAACCAUCCAAUGCUCAAAUAGCAUCGCCUCGCUGAAUCACUCAAGCUACUGCUGAAAUAUUAAUAAUCAAAAAUCCAAAAUUUCAAAAGAUUGAGAUCUCUGAUUUUAUUGGAAGUUUGCACGCACCAAUUUUUCAGUGAUCAAUCUUUGCAGUGAUUUGCUCCACGAAACCAUUUCAAAGAAUUUCCAUUCCCGGGCGAGAUUUUCACUUUUCUUAGAGUAUUCAAACGCCUCCCGCAAGAAGUGCAUUCUUUCUUCAGGUUGGUUUUCUGAACGUCGGAAAUAAUAAAUCGACUUGACCAAGUUGAGCUGGACGUCGCGAUAUUUUGUGCGUUUGCGCUCUGAUUGCUCAAUGGCCAUUAUACUAGAGUUGGCCUCAUUCAGACGGCUGUCGUCAACUUUUUCAUCGACCAACUCUCCAGAAAGGUGACAGCCAAGGUGAAACGUUGCAAGAUUUAUAUGAGCCUUGUAUUCCAGAUCUGCGCGUUCCUCGGGAUAAUCCGACAUAACUUGUUGGAGGUGUUGCAAAGCGUUGUGUAAGAGCACAUUCGGAGCACUCGAAUGUACAUCAAAAAGGUGCAUUAUCGUCCCUGCAAAUAAAUAUACUAGCGCUGUAACUAAACCUGGUGAAAGCCAAUCUGCCUUCGCCAAAGCACCGACCAAUAAAACGCGGAUACGGUCAAAAUCUCCGUUAGGUCGAGUAACCUCAACACGUUCACAUAGCCCUAACACUUCAAACAUAUGAUGUUCCGUUGCAUUUGGUAGGAGUUUGUCGUACUCGUCCAGCAAUUUAUCCGCCGUCUUAAAAUGCUGUUUUCGGAAAUGCGCUAUAAUUUUCUUCAACAACACAACCAAUUGAAGCUCGACAAUAUCUGGAAACAUUUUUUUAAUUGUGUUCGACUUAUCCCGAAAUCCUUUCAAAUCCCCGCCAUUAUUUAAACAAUUCGCUAGAAUACAAAAUGCUCGAGUACAAAGUUUUUGAGUCUCUUUUGAAAUCCAUGUAAUGCUUCUGCCAAUUGCGUAGGGGACGAACCCAAUCUCGACAGGUCCCAAAAUUCUUUCCUUCCAAGUAGCAAUCGACAUCUUCUUAACUUCCCCCUCCACUAUUUCAUAACAUUCUGGUUCCUCGGUGAACACACCACCAAGACAAGGAGCGAUAUAGAUCACGAUCACAAAGGUUGAUGGAAUAGGCUUGGAGUUUUCAUCUACCACUGGCUCGAAGAAAAUAUUCCAGUGUUUUCCUCGUUUGGGCUGACCGAUAUGCUCAGGCCAUAUCAUCUUCUUGAUGGCUUUCUCGACUUUCUUUAUUAUUUCAAUAAUGUCUUCAUUCGGGAUCUCCUCUCCCGCAACAACGCCAUCGUCUGUGAUACCAUAAUAAAUGUGACCUCCGUUAUGAUUGGCAAACGCAGAGACAUAAACAAUUAAUUUGUUAUUUAUCAUACGCUGUACCAACUUGGUGCAAUUUUUAGCACCAGCUUCCAAUAACUUAAGUUGAAUUUGCUUGUCUUCCGUAAGACUACAAAACGUGUGUCUUACAAACGUUUUGUGAUGUGAACCGAGUUGGACUGGUUGAUAAACGUGCCGCCUGGUCAAGAUAUUGUCCUUGAUAUUUUCUGUGGAUGAAACUGAAAGUACUUGUGUUGUACUUGGUAAAUACAGGUUGUAAUGAGUUGUGAUGAAAGACUCACUUUUCUUAACUGUGCACACGACAUUAUUGCAAACGAUUCUCGUGUCUAAAUUUAAAACAGUCAUUUGCGUUCCAACGAUAUUCGUACACGAUUGUUCGACGAUUCGAAUGAAUGAAUUAAUACGUUUUGCGGCAUUCUUUUGCACUUUAUUAAAGUUGAACUUAAGUUUUCCACCACUGCCAUUCAUCAGCGCACAAAGAUAACCAACUAUUUCCUUUAGCAUUCGUUCUUUGUACUUUUUAUCGGAAGGAAAUUUCCCUAAGUCGAUGUAAAGCUCCAAGGGAUCCAUGUCAUCCGAAAACGGGAAGUACAAAGACU
rnacentral:lncRNA from 1 species